ACAUGCCUACAAUAUAAAAUUAAUGCAUAAGAUCUCAUUAGAACUACAUAGUUAAGCGCACUCAGGCUAGAGUAGUAUUGGGAUGGGUGACCUCUUGGGAAGUCCUAGUGUUUUACAUGCC
rnacentral:rRNA from 1 species